rnacentral:ncRNA from 1 species
GUUAAGGCUGUGAAGAGACAAGUACUUUAUUGGUUUACAAAAGAGAACUGAUGGUUGGUGCAAAUCAGGUGUAAAACAAUUUAGGAAUAAAAACUUGGAGCUGUUUGUAAAUCCUGCAUUAAAGGAUAAUGAGGUUUUCAGCGAAAGCUGAGAAUAAAAUAGGGUGGUACCACGAACAUUUCGUCCCUUGG